CGGUGCAGGAAGGCACUGGGGUUGCACGUGAGCAAAACUCCUGAAGAAGACACCCUUUGAGGGUACCCAGCUGAAGGAAGCCCCUCCCUUUCCAGUCCACAGUAUUUAAGAGCAGAGUGACCACAGAGGUGUUUACUAUGAGUUGAAUACUCUUCAGCCUGUUGCAUGCUAUCUUUUCCACUGGUGAAAAUUUCGGAUAAGGCUUUUUCCAUAGGGAGCAUAACUGAGGAAAAGAUUUCAUUAGAAUAUCUUCUCUGGCUUCGUGCUUUUAUUUCUGGCGACUGAGUGCUGAAGAUCAGGUGUUAUCAGUGUCGUCAGUGCACAUACUGGGUUCGCUCUGUUCCUCAACAAAGGGAGCUGAGAGGAAAAUUGUGGGCUCUCUAUGAAGAACUCAGGUAGCAUG